rnacentral:lncRNA from 1 species
UUUUUUUUUUUUUGACUCCUGCAUUUUUUGUUUGUAAUACACUGGAGCCAGUUUUCCCAUUGGACUUAGGGUUUGUGAAUGCCUCUGGCCACAUUAUAGAGGAAACAGACUCUAAUAGGGUCUUCCUGCUUUCUCCUCUCAUCUGCCAUAUUCAGUCCUUAAGGAGUUUCCUAGAGGUUUUCUCUGCAGUCCAUCCUCUUAUGUUACAUCACUUGUGACAGUGAUUUGUAACAACAUUGGUUGCUUUAUGUUCUCCAGUAUCCAUUCAUCUAUUUACCCAGGUUAUAGUUCCCAGGCUUCCUUUGGAGAAACCACCCCUCCUUUACUUUCAGCCCACCUUCGGAGGGGGUGGGGAGACAGCAUGGGAUGUAAUCCUUAACCAAUCAGUCCAUUCAUUCCCCAGGCCACGAUGAUUGAUUAGCAAUGUCAUAUGACCCAGUCAGAGCCAAUGAGACACAAUGAGGCUUUUGCUGGGACUGGAGAGAAAGAGCAAAAGAGAACUUUUUCCUGCUGGACUUAACCUCAAGGGAUGUUAGGUUAGAGGUUCUAGCAGCCACCUUGUCAUCAUGGGGAGAAAGACCAUCUGAGAAGGAAGCCAAUCCCACAGAAGCGGAUCCAAGAUACCGGAAGAGUGAAACGGUCUUCUAAAGCUGUACCUGAAGUCACCUUACUCCUGCCAUUUUUUAGUGGAGAAAAUGAAGCAGAGAAGCUUGUGUGACUCACUUAAGGUCAUCUAUGUCGGCGCCACUUCUCAGACUCCAGCUGUCCUCAUAUCCCCAGAAAUGCUUUUUCAGGUCAACAGUGCCUUUAAGUCCUUGGAUUCCAGCUGGUAAUAAAUUUUUCCUGCCAUUAGUUAAUAAAGGAAAUAGGGGUUGCCUAGAAGCAAGCAGAUAUGAUUGGGAGGAAGCUGAGGAAACAUUCUAGCACCUCUGUUUUAUUCUUUGUCUUCAGAGAGAAGAUUCUAUAUCACAUACAAGGAAGCAGAGCAUUCAGUGACAAGCCCUGACUCUACUGUGGCUGAGUAACCACCCAGUCACUCUGGUUGUUGGUGAAGACUCAGCAUUGCCCUGGCACUUUAAUCACUGGGGUCCCGGGGGCCCACAGGGCUCAAUAUCUUACACAUGCAGUUCAUGUACCAGCUGUUGCAGGAAACAGGUUCUCUGGAGUUUAAAAAAGAAAGGCAAUUUCUCUAAUUUGGAUCAGGCCAGGUAAAAUGGUGGCUGAGGCUGUCCCUGUUCUGGGUCUCAGGAACUCAGAGCAGGCGUUCAUAGGUCACGAGAUUGGCAUCAGACAAGAGUAGAUAAAUAGAAAAUUUUUUUCCGGUACAAAUACAGGUCUGUGCGGCCCCGUGUCACGUUGUACCUGGUUAUAUGUGCUGAAGUCUCUGAGCUACUCCCACAGUCAAGCUGGUCACAAAUCGGAUUGGGCCUCAUUUUCACCCUGAAGGAAACUGAGGCUGAGAGUUGCUGAGGCCUGCCCUAAAGGUUGUGGCAAGAGACUCAGCUGGAGAGCCAGGGAGGCUGGGUGCCAGGGAGAAUAUUUUCUUUGUUUGGGAAAAGCCGUGUCCAUCUGGCUUGCUCUGUAGCCUGUAGCCUCUCGCCUGAGAAGCUUUCCUGCCACUGGACAUGGAUCCCACUGGCAGGGUCUCUGCUGUGACCGACAGAAGAUGCCGGCCCUGGGAGAGGCAACCAGUGAGGGCCCUACACAGAGCAUGCCUGCGCCUGGACUGACCCAGCCUUCAGUUCAUCCACCCCACAGACAUUGGCUCAGGGUCUCCCCUGGUGGAAUGUGGACCAUGGCCUGUUGUUACAGGCUCAGGUAGAUUGUCGACAAUGGUGCUCCAGUAUUCUCGGCCUGGGGGAGCUUGCAUCCUGCAUAGCCCCUUAAUUUUUGCAGAUGAGGACACUGAGACUCAGAGAUCUGAAAUAGCUUGUCCAAGGUCACACAAGAAAGCCAGGUUCAAGGCCUGGCUCCACCACUGCCUUGUCUUGUGGCCUUGAGCAAGUUCCUUGGCCUUGCUGGGCCUGUUUCCUAAUCUCUGAAGGGGGAUAAGUACCUAGUCCACAAGGCUAAUGUGGGAGUUAAAUGAGAUGAUCCAGCUGAGGGCCUCAUCAAAGGCCCUCUGCUCAUGGGAGGAGUCCCGUACAGUCCACCUCCAUCUCUGAAUCUGCAUUACCCUUGUUUUAUUAUUGUCAUGCAGUUGGCAACAACCACUACAAUCAAAUGAAGACCUCGGAAGCCAAGGCUGUGCAGCUGUUGCACAAAGUUCCUCGAAAGUCCCUCUUGCCUUCCAUCCUCCCCAUGUUCCCACAUGGUAGAGAUGGCAAGUCUCCUUUCUUUCAUUUUACUGAUGAGAUAAAACUUCAGUCAAAGAUGUGUCCUAAACCUGUGCUCUCCACUUCCUGGUUUCCCUGCUCUUUCUGUCUCCACCUGCUGCCAAUUAGAAUAUUCCCACUGGUAGGAUAUUCCAGCCAUGAGGGCGCUGAGUGUGGGAAAGAAGGAAUACCCCCUCCCACCCCAAAUCAAUGGAAAUCACCUCAGCAUUCUUCUUACUGUUUUCUAUUUUUUCUUGGGUUCAUCUCCAGGGGCUGCGGGUUGGGGGCUAAGGACUGGGGGUCCUUGACUGACUGCACAGGGCUGGAUCUGACGGAGCAGAUAGAACGCAUUUCCCAGCUCUGGGGCUGUGGCCAGUGACAACUUUAACGGCAAAGAAUUACCAUCAAUUGUGUCCUGUGGCUGAAGGGAUUUAUGGACAUUUUAUGUGACUCUAUGGACACAGACCCAAGGUUCCAACUGAACAGAGCUGGGAAGAAACACAGUGGCCCUUGUUAAACGGAAAGAAUGAGUUUAAUGUAUACAGGGAGAGGGUAAGGGGUGGCGGUGGGGAGACAGAAGGAAAGGAGGUUCCCCGUGUUAAAUAUUUACAAUUUGGGACUUGGGUCCUGUAUUUCCAAAGGUGGUGGCAGGAGGGUGAUUUCCGUAAUAUAUUCCUCCCUCAAAACCCACCUUGCAUGAGAAACUGCAGCAGGCACAAAAUAUUGCUCAUGAAUAUUAAUCAGUAAACUCCCCCUGCCAGUUGGGAAUGGGGGCUGGUACUAAAAUACUCCCUCCCCAACCCCCAAAGGCAAACAGCCCCCAAGGAAAACCCUGAAGCCAGCUCCCCAGGCUGACAGCAGAAGUAUUCCUGGCCGUGGGGUCAGAGGGCAUGGCCAGGGGAGGGGUCAGCUUUGUUUCCACUGUGUGUUGGUGAAUGCCAAACCUUUAUGGAACUUUGCUAGCUGUGUUUUGGGCUAUUUAGCUGCAAAACCAAAAGAUUUAUUUUUUCCCUCUCUCUCCUUUUGGGUUUUGUCUUCCACUGGCAGCAGUAACAUAUGCAGGUCUGGAGGCCGUUAAGGCAGGCCAGGCUCUCUCCCAUCCGAAGAAAAGAAAAGACAGGUCUUAAUUAAAAGAGAACCCAACAUUUGUAAAGCCAGCACAAACAUUCCCAACAUCCACCACCAUUGCUUCUGUGAUCUUUUCAAUAGACAAAGGAAAAAUGAGUGGCAUGGGAGGCAUCUUUCAUGAUACAUUUUAUCUGUACAACCUGUUACCUUUUUUUUUUUUUUUUUUUUUUUUUUGAGAUGGAGUCUCGCUCUGUCACCCAGGCUGCAGUGCAGUGGCGCCAUCUCGGCUCACUGCAAGCUCUGCCUCCCGG